GGGGAGAUAUUCAAGAGGCUAAAGAAAGCAGACUGUAAAUCUGAUGGGAAAACCUUCGUAGGUUCGACUCCUACUCUCCCCA
rnacentral:tRNA from 1 species